rnacentral:lncRNA from 1 species
AGUGUAUUUUUGAGGUCCCUAUGCAAUGGCGACGGUGCCGUGAAGGGCAACUCAGCAAAAUAAAGCGGUGAUACAUUUUUUAACCGAUUUUUUUCUCAGAGGAGAAAAAUCUGAACAAUUUGGCCUAAGUUUCACUUUGUCCUUCUCUUAGGUUGAUCUCAUUUAAAUUCAGGGCCUACUUCCACUUAAGCAACUUCUUCUUUCAUUGUAUAGGUUCUUUAAUAUCCAACCUUUUUAAACUUAACUUGAAGCCUUUAAUUUAAAAAACUGUCCCAAUCAUCAUUUUCUUUUCAAUGUAUGCAGUUGCAUUUUAAACAUCCAUUUAACACACAAAAUGUGAUUUUUGAAAUUUUUUUCACUUUCAAACCCACCUGCUACAUACUCCCAGAGAGCGUUUUAUUUAAUUGCUUAAUAGAGAAGAUUAAGCAGUUUCUUUAAGAAUCCAAUUUCCCUUCAACAAGCACAACAGCAGCUGCCCAAGCUCCCAGAAACUAAGCAAAGGCAAGUAGCAGGCAGCGUUUUGCUUCACUAGAAUGAAUGUUAGUUGAAACCUUAAAUACCUCUUUAAAAGACUAGAUUAAAGAGAAUAAUGGGAAUAUUAAGAUACUCCGGUAGUUAGUUAAAAUAUUUUUUAAGGAAAACCAGGCAGAUAUACAUCUAUUUUGAUGAUUUGAUCCCACCUUCAAAGAGGAUCCCUGAAAAGAGUUUUAGUCACAAUUUGACAAAUUUUAAAUAAUUACUUUGUUUCAGAGUCAUGAGGAUGGAAAGAAGAUAGCCUGCGUUGAGUUGAAGUAAAGUAAAAAUAUUAUGAAUAUGUGUAACUAGGUGACAUCCUCUCUGCUGGGAAGAAUCCUUUUUUUUUUUUUUUUUUUUUUUCUGGUGACAGGUUCUUGCUCCAUCACCCAGGCUGGAGUGCAGUGGCAUGAUCUUGGCUCACUGCAGCCUCUCCCUUUCAGGCUCAAGCAAUCCUCCCACCUCAGCCUCCCGAGUGGAGGGGGAGCCACUGCAGAUCUGGAGCAAAUCAGCACCAGCCACUCCAGAGCCUGACCUACAUAGGACUCAGAAAGCAUUGUCUAUUGUGAUUGAUUAUUCCUGUGUUCAGUCCCAAUGGCCUAUUGAUUGGGGGUUUCUCUCCAAAAGGCUGCAUGGCUUUUCUUCUCUAAGUGAAUCUCCUUUAUAACCCAUAUUUUAUGUCUAUAUACCAAACAUGCUAUCCAUAUUUAGUCAAUGUCCAGUUGCUUGCAUGUAAGGGCAAUAGAGUAAUCAGAAAACUCUUCCCAGAAAGCCCCCGAAGACAAAACUAGUACUGGUAGAAAACUGGGCAUGCAGCUCUAAGAAACUCUAUGGGAAGUGAGGCUGGGUGGGGCACAGCUGCCCCAGCCUGGCACCCAUAUGGAGCAUCAGCAAGGAAGUAGGAACUUUCUUUUCAUCAUGCAUCCUUCUUAUCACUUCUCAGUUUCAAAGGGAAAGAAAAUUUGGUAAUCUGCAUUUUGAGACAUUAAGAAAAUAAAAUAAUUAAUGGCUUCAUGGUUAUAUGGCAUUUUUCAGAGUAUUGUCAGAAAAUCAUUUCGAACUGAAAUUUUCAUUCAAAAAUAUUUAUUGAAUGCCGGCUAUGUGCUGAAGAUUCUUAAGAUACAUCAGUGAACAAAUCAAAGUUCCCUGCUUUCUUGGAGCUUGCAUUCCAGCGGGAGGAGAGGAUUUGGAGGAAGAAUGGGAUAGACAAUAAAUGUAAGUAAUAAAUUAUAUAGGACUUUGAAAGGUAAAAUGUUUGGGGGAAAAACAUAAAAUAGGGUAAAGGAUAUAGGUGGGGUGAGGGUUGUCCUGAUGCUGUAUUAAAUAGGAACAUCAGAGUAAGACUUGUUGAAAAGGGAGAUUUCUGCCAUGGUUUGAAGGAAAUACCUGGAGAUAUCUGGAGGACAGAGCUUUUCACAUGGAGGGAACAGCCAAGAUACAGCUCCAAUACCUGGAAUUUUUAUAGACAUCAAUGGGAAUGGUGUGGCUAGAAUAAAAUGAGACAGCCAGUGAACAGAAGGCCUCUCAGGUCACCGUAAGAAUUCCAGAAAAGCUUCAUAAAAGGCAAAUUUUGGGCCUUUAUCACUCAGCCCCAUGGAAUCUGAAUCUUUGUGGGCCCAGGACUCUGCAUUUUUAACAUGUAAAGCAAUUGUUACUUAUGUAUUCUAAAGCACAAGACCUCCUGCCACAGAGCAUGGGACCUGAUAUAUCCAGGCAGGAGAACUGGGUACCAGGAGACACUGUACAUGAAGUUUCCAGAACCAGCCAUGUCCAUCUUACUAAUCAAGACUCUCUCUGUUAAAUCUGCAACUCAAAUGACUUUAAGGAAAAAUGGAUUUCAUUGAUUCACAUAACCAUCACUCAAGGACUAACUUUCAACAUAGUGAGAUCCUGAGGCUCAAAUAUUAUUACCCGAAACAACCUUCAGUACAUAAGUAAUGGCUGCUGGAUGUAACUUGCAAUUGGGUGGCAGGUCGGCAAGGAAAGAAUUCCAAACAGAGGACUUUCUGAAAGCCUAAUUAUACAUAUUGAAUGUAACAAAAGGAAAAUAGUUUUUAAGGGUUCCAUGAACUGCUUCCUCUGACAUGAGAUCUAACAAGGCUAAAGACUAAAAUGCAGCUGUUUACAGCGUAAGUAGGAGGCCGUCCCGUGCAGUGCAAAAUCAACAGAGAGGAGACAGUCCUAUGCCUUCGAGAGACAGUCUGCUGAUACUGUCAUGAUGUCUAGUGACAGGCCAGAGAUCAAAACCCAACACCCUCAUUUACCUGACAGUGAUUUGGCCAAUCCC